GCAAUGAGACAGCUGAAUGACCGCAAAUGUUACCAAAAAUUGCCGUCUCACCCCACAAACUAUUUUCAGCGGAAAUUCUUUUUGGACUCAGCCCUGGAGUUGUGGAUUAUCUCCAAGAAGGAACAGAACUACCUAAAGUCAGUAUGAUGCUCCGGUGGUCUCCAUCUCCGCCCCAUCCCCCAAUAUCCCACCUCCAGAAGCCACCAGGGUAUCAGAGCAACUAACUAUGCUCCAACCAUGACGCUCCACUCCAACCCACCAUUCCACCCCAACGGACGGCCAUCCACAGGUUCUGCAGGGCUUCCUGUUCUUCAGAGAUUUCUCAUGGGAAAGAAGAAACAAAGCUGUAUGUUCUAUACCAAGAAGGGGAUGUCCUUUUAAAAGAGAACUUAUCUUUACAUGGUAUGAAGUGAGACAGUCUUCAUUUUCAACAGAUUUUUGGAAUAAUUAAAUUUGACUGUGAGACAAAAUCAUGUUGAUACCUACUGGAGGAGAGUGUCUGAUUUAUUUUCCUGCAUCAUUUUGGUUGUGCAUUUGUUGCCACUGGACAUAAAAGUAGAAAGAUAGACACCUGCCUUUCCCCUUUGUGACCG